rnacentral:rRNA from 1 species
UACGGAGGGUGCAAGCGUUAUCCGGAUUCACUGGGUUUAAAGGGUGCGUAGGCGGGCAUUUAAGUCAGUGGUGAAAUACCUGAGCUUAACUUGGGAACUGCCAUUGAUACUAUUUGUCUUGAAUGUCGUGGAGGUUAGCGGAAUAUGUCAUGUAGCGGUGAAAUGCUUAGAUAUGACAUAGAACACCUUUUGCGAAGGCAGCUAACUACGCGAAUAUUGACGCUGAGGUGCGAAAGCGUGGGGAGCAAACAGG